GCCGAUAUGGCUCAAUUGGCAGAGCAGCUGAUUUGUAAUCAGCAGGUUGAGGGUUCGAGUCCCCCUAUCGGCU
rnacentral:tRNA from 4 species